UUCACCUCUCUCUCUCUCUCUCUCUCUCUCUCUCUCUCUCUCUCUCUCUCUCCUCUGUAUAAAUUCCAUAAAGUAAAAAAACUUAAAAAAAUUCAGCAAUGGCGGUCUCAAGCUCCAGCCACGCCCAAAGCCUGCUCCAACAGCAGCACCAAUGGCGGCUCCGCCCACGCCGGUGGCGGGAGCACCAAAUCCAACACCAUCAGCCACCAUUACGCUGCCCGCAUCAUCUCCGCCGUCCGAUUCCCCCAUCGCUUCUCCCCCUGCUUCUCCCACUUCUCACUGUCACUCCGUUGCUAACAGCCGCCCACCGCCACACCGCCGCCCACCACCGCCUAUCGCUCACCGCCGCCACCGUCACCGGUAAACUUAAUUUCUGCAUCAGUUUAAGAUGCUUCAAUAGCAUAAGAAAAAAGCUUCUUCUUUGAAGGGUUCCUAAUUAAUUGGGUUUGUUCUUCUUUUCUAUUUGCUGAUUCGAUUUGUUAACUUAAUUGAUUUGAAUAUUCCAUGAAUCAGGUGAUAAGAUCUUCAAUUUCCUUUUUGCAUAUUUGUUUUGCUUGUGCUAAUUGUGAGCCUUGUGCUGAAUAUUAGGUUUUUAGGUUGAAAGGCAUUCUCUGUAUCAAAGUUAUCAUUUAUUUUUUAUUUUUUUAAUGAGAUUCUAGAUUUUUAAAUAUUAGGUUCACUGAAGUUAAAUAGUUAGGUUAUAUUCUAUGUUUUUAGGUUGAAUUGCUCUAUUCUUUGUUAUACUGAAGCUAAACUGCAUCUUUCACACGAUUCAUAGGUAACCAUUGGAAAUUUCUGAUACGGUUUUAAAGAUAUGUGUUAGAUCCACGAACCUAAAAUGUUGAUACUGCAAAGUUACUAUACAUACCUAUUUUUAAGAAGAAAUUCUUCUGUGUGUGGAUGCAACUGUAUGUUAAUCGAUAUUUGUCGGUCGACGAUAAUUUAGUAACAUGUAGUAACAUAUGCACGUGAUUGCGUAUUUCGAUUUAUAUUUAUUGGUUAUGAGUUGAUUUAUAAUAUAAAUAUUUAAAUUGAACCUGUUUUUUUUCAACAGGUUUUGGUGUUUGAACACCUUCUAUGCACUAAGCUUUUGCCGAGAGGACAUGUUGUUCGUCAGUUCGAAACAGUUGUCGAUUAGAUCGAAGUUACUGUCGUGUCGUGUUGAAAAGUAGGAUUUGAAGCCAUAAAUACAAACUAUACUAUAUACUCUUAUAGUCACAUGUGGUCAUAUACAUGUAGUCAUAUAUAGUCACAUGUAGUCAUGUACAUGUAGUCAUGUACAUGUAGUCAUAUAUAAUCAUAUGUAGUCAUAUACAAGUAGUCAUAUAUAGUCACAUGUUGUCAUAUAGAUGUAGUCAUAUAUAGUCACGUGUAUUAAUAUAUAGUCACAUGUAGUCAUGCACAUGUAGUCGUAUAUAAUCAUAUGUAGUCAUAUAUAGUCACAUGUUGUCAUAUAUAUGUAGUCAU
rnacentral:lncRNA from 1 species